rnacentral:rRNA from 1 species
UACGGAGGAUGCGAGCGUUAUCCGGAUUUAUUGGGUUUAAAGGGUGCGUAGGCGGACUGUCAAGUCAGCGGUAAAAUUGAGAGGCUCAACCUCUUCCCGCCGUUGAAACUGGUGGUCUUGAGUGGAUGAGAAGUACGCGGAAUGCGUGGUGUAGCGGUGAAAUGCGUAGAUAUCACGCAGAACUCCGAUUGCGAAGGCAGCGUACCGGCGCCCAACUGACGCUGAAGCACGAAGGCGUGGGUAUCGAACAGG